AACGUAGGAGACAAACGUUAUCCGGAGUUAUUGGGCGUAAAGGGCGUGUAGGCGGUCUGUUAAGUCUGGCGUGAAAGCUCUCGGCUAAACCGGGAGAGGUCGUUGGAUACUGGCAGACUAGAGGACGGUAGAGGCGUGUGGAAUUCCGGGUGUAGUGGUGAAAUGCGUAGAGAUCCGGAGGAACACCAGUGGCGAAGGCGACACGCUGGGCCGUACCUGACGCUAAAGCGCGACAGCAUGGGGAGCAAACGGG
rnacentral:rRNA from 1 species